GACAGAGGUCCCGAGCGUUAGGCGGAAUCACUGGGCUUAAAGCGUGUGUAGGCGGAUUGGUAAGUACCUUGUGAAAUCCCACGGCUUAACCGUGGAACUGCUUGGUAUACUGCUUAUCUUGGGCCACUUAGGGGCUACCGGAACAAACGGUGGAGCGGUGAAAUGCGUAGAUAUCGUUUGGAACGCCAAUGGUGAAAACAGGUAGCUGGGAGUGUGCCGACGCUGAGACACGAAAGCCAGGGGAGCAAACGGG
rnacentral:rRNA from 1 species